GGAAUUUGUUGGUUUGAUACUCCUAUGCCAUCUUGCAAUUUUUUUACAUCAGUGCAGUGCAGUACAUAUAUGCUGUAGUCAUAGUUCAUAUUUAUGAUUGAUCAUCAACAUGCUAUUUUACAAAAGGAACUUGCAACAGAUUUUAUCAAAACAAAUUUAGCCACUAUUCCAGAAAUUAUAGAUCAAUCUACACAAAAUGAUCCAAAUUUUGAUAGAGGUUUAAAGGCAGAAAGAAGUGUCAUGGAUGCAAUGUCUUGCUAUCGACAAUUGCUUGCUGAACAAAAGAGGAAAAGGCAAACAACAUUAGAUGAC
rnacentral:lncRNA from 1 species